rnacentral:rRNA from 1 species
UACGUAGGGGGCGAGCGUUGUCCGGAAUUACUGGGCGUAAAGCGCGCGUAGGCGGCCGAACGCAUCCGCAGUGAAAGCCCCCGGCUCAACCGGGGAGGGCCUGCGGAGAUGGUUCGGCUGGAGGACAGCAGAGGCAGGUGGAACUCCCGGAGGAGCAGUGAAAUGCGUAGAGACCGGGAAGAACACCCGUGGCGAAGGCGGCCUGCUGGGCUGCUCCUGACGCUGAGGCGCGAAAGCCAGGGGAG